rnacentral:piRNA from 1 species
UGCUGACAAACACAUUCUACCCCUGUAGGC